GCAACUUUGGUGCUUUUACAGAGGCUGUUUUCUCCACCGAAUUUUUUUUUAACGAAUGUUUGAGACAUUGGCUAGAAGUUGUCAGACUUUAACACUACCUACUUAAUAGCUCCAGUGAAACCUGCAUUUUGAAAUCUUGAAAAUCUCCUGCAGUUCCCUGUCCAUCACCGGAACUGCUAGCAGAAGUACCAUUGCUGGGUGAGAGGAGCCAUCCCUCUACGUAGCACCUGUGGAUGCUGUGUAGGACAGGAAAAACUUCCUUUGCACCAGAGCAUGCCAGGAUAGCAGCUUAUCUCAAACUCAUUUGCAUUUUCCUGUAAACCCAGUGUGGGUUUAGAAGGGGGAACAGGAUACUGAAGAACCUUGAAGAGCUUCAGACCAGUCCACUACUUUUUCCUUCAGUCCUUCUGCUGAGAUUUCCCCAUUCAUCUGAUGUGGAGACAACCUGUGAUCCAGGG